AACCGGGGCUAAUACCGGAUAACAUUUUGAACUGCAUGGUUCGAAAUUGAAAGGCGGCUUCGGCUGUCACUUAUGGAUGGACCCGCGUCGCAUUAGCUAGUUGGUGAGGUAACGGCUCACCAAGGCAACGAUGCGUAGCCGACCUGAGAGGGUGAUCGGCCACACUGGGACUGAGACACGGCCCAGACUCCUACGGGAGGCAGCAGUAGGGAAUCUUCCGCAAUGGACGAAAGUCUGACGGAGCAACGCCGCGUGAGUGAUGAAGGCUUUCGGGUCGUAAAACUCUGUUGUUAGGGAAGAACAAGUGCUAGUUGAAUAAGCUGGCACCUUGACGGUACCUAACCAGAAAGCCACGGCUAACUACGUGCCAGCAGCCGCGGUAAUACGUAGGUGGCAAGCGUUAUCCGGAAUUAUUGGGCGUAAAGCGCGCGCAGGUGGUUUCUUAAGUCUGAUGUGAAAGCCCACGGCUCAACCGUGGAGGGUCAUUGGAAAC
rnacentral:rRNA from 2 species